rnacentral:rRNA from 1 species
GCAGACGGGUGAGUAUGCAUAGGAAUCUACCUAGUAGUAUGGGAUAGCCACUAGAAAUGGUGGGUAAUAUUGUAUAAUCCCUGCGGGGGAAAGAUUUAUCGCUAUUAGAUGAGCCUAUGUUAGAUUAGCUAGUUGGUAGGGUAAAGGCCUACCAAGGCAGUGAUCCAUAGCUGGUCUGAGAGGAUGAUCAGCCACACUGGAACUGAGAUACGGUCCAGACUCCUACGGGAGGCAGCAGUGGGGAAUAUUGGACAAUGGGCGCAAGCCUGAUCCAGCUAUGCCGCGUGAGUGAGGAAGGCCUUAGGGUUGUAAAACUCUUUCAGUAGGGAAGAUAAUG